GGAAGGGAAGGGAAGGUUUGGGAAGGGAAGGUUUGGGAAGGGAAGGUUUGGGAAGGUUUGGGAAGGUUUGGGAAGGUUUGGGAAGGGAAGGUUUGGGAAGGGAAGGUUUGGGAAGGGAAGGUUUGGGAAGGGAAGGUUUGGGAAGGGAAGGUUUGGGAAGGGAAGGUUUGGGAAGGGAAGGUUUGGGAAGGGAAGGUUUGGGAAGGGAAGGUUUGGGAAGGGAAGGUUUGGGAAGGGAAGGUUUGGGAAGGGAAGGUUUGGGAAGG